CUGCCAAAUUAGAAACUGGGUGAACAAAAAUUUAUUUUUUUCUUGCAAGUACUUUUGAUCUUCCAAAUUUGCAGUGAACUCUAAAUAAUGUUUUUUAAUUAAAAAUAAUGGUCUGGAUUGCUUCAUCACUUCACUAUUAUAUGCUUUAAAUUGGUAACGUUGCGUUUAAUCUUUCGCACUAUUUAAGUAAUAGAUUUUCAGCACCUUUUGUUCUCUUUUUUCAACGUUUACCAUCUUACUGCAGGGUAACAUAGAUGAGGAAGGAAGUUUUACUCUCAGAGAUCGUCUCCUCCCCCUCAUUAUUUGCCUGCUGAGAACAGACAAACUUCCUGCGUUUCUCAGAAUCUACCGGGAUACACUUAUUACUGUUAUGAAAGCUUCAAUCAAGGCCACAGUUGCAGAGUUGCUUCCAGUUUUAACUGCCAGACCAAUAGAUUUUGAUUCAGUAACUGGAGACAGGGCUGCUGAUGCUGACGCUGGAGGCCAGUCCUUAGCAAAUAAGUUGCGAACUCUGUCAUCUGAAGGGUUUGUUCAACUUUUGUCCGCCAUUUUUAGGAUAGUACAGGUAAAAUAAUCCAUAACAAGAAUUCCAUUUUCAUAUUUUUGGGAAAGAAGAUCCUGGGCAAAAUUUAGUUUUAUUGACUUUACCAUCUUCUUGUGGCCGGUUGUAAAAUCUACUUGUAGCCUUACACUGUUUUAGCAUUUAUCAAUGCUUAUUUGGUUCCUGAAAACAAUCUAUUUUGGCCUCUAUGCCUGAUGUACUGAUUAUUUAAUUUGCUUUUAUGAAAUGUGAGCAAUUUGUUCUA